rnacentral:rRNA from 1 species
AUUGAACGCUGGCGGCAUGCCUUACACAUGCAAGUCGAACGGUAACGGGCCUUCGGGUGCCGACGAGUGGCGAACGGGUGAGUAAUACAUCGGAACGUGCCCGAUCGUGGGGGAUAACGAGGCGAAAGCUUUGCUAAUACCGCAUACGAUCUACGGAUGAAAGCAGGGGACCGCAAGGCCUUGCGCGGACGGAGCGUCCGAUGGCAGAUUAGGUAGUUGGUGGGAUAAAAGCUUACCAAGCCGACGAUCUGUAGCUGGUCUGAGAGGAUGAUCAGCCACACUGGGACUGAGACACGGCCCAGACUCCUACGGGAGGCAGCAGUGGGGAAUUUUGGACAAUGGGCGCAAGCCUGAUCCAGCCAUGCCGCGUGCAGGAUGAAGGCCUUCGGGUUGUAAACUGCUUUUGUACGGAACGAAAAGCCUUCUUUUAAUACAGGAGGGUCAUGACGGUACCGUAAGAAUAAGCACCGGCUAACUACGUG